rnacentral:rRNA from 1 species
AGAGUUUGAUUCUGGCUCAGGAUGAACGCUGGCGGCGUGCCUAACACAUGCAAGUCGAACGAAGAGGCCCCUCGGGGGUACUCAGUGGCGGACGGGUGAGUAACACGUAGGUGACCUACCCCCGAAGUGGGGGAAUAACAGUCCGAAAGGAUUGCUAAUACCCCAUGUGAUCGAUGAGGUUAGAGUCUUGUCGAUUAAAGCAGUAAUGUGCUUCGGGAGGGGCCUGCGCCCCAUCAGCUAGUUGGUAGGGUAAUGGCCUACCAAGGCUACAACGGGUAGGGGGCCUGAGAGGGUGACCCCCCACAUUGGCACUGACACACGGGCCAAACUCCUACGGGAGGCAGCAGUGAGGAAUAUUGCUCAAUGGGCGAAAGCCUGAAGCAAGCAACGCCGCGUGCGCGAUGAAGGCCUUCGGGUCGUAAAGCGCUUUUGAGAGGGACGAGAUAGGACGGUACCUCUGGAAUAAGUCACGGCUAACUACGUGCCAGCAGCCGC